CACGAAUUUCAGGAAAGCUAUUUCAGUCAACCAAAGGCUUGCAGUUACUCUUCGUUUCCUGGCAACAGGAGAUUCAUUUCAGAGCCUUGCGUAUUUAUUUCGCAUUUCGAAACAAGCAAUAUCUAAAAUAGUACCCGAAGUAUGUGGAGCUCUGGUGGAAGUACUGAAGGAUUAUGUAAAGAUACCUGCGACUGAAAACGACUGGAGUGAAACAGCAUGUUUAUUCUCACAGAUUCUUCAGUUCCCCCAUUGUGACGGAGCAAUUGACCGGAAACAUAUCGUGCUACAGUGCCCUGUUGGUAGUGGAAGUGAAUAUUAUAAUUAUAAAGGUUCAUUCAGCAUUGUGCUGCUUGCUGUCGUCGAUGCCAGCUACAACUUUUUGUACGCAGAUAUCGGCUGCCAAGGCAGAAUGUCAGAUGGUGGUGUGUUCAAAAACGCGAGCAUAAAUGAGUUAAUUAACAAAAAGAAACUUAAACUUGCCACAUGCCGAAUGCUUACCAGGUGGCACCAAGGCCCUACCAUAUGUUUUUGUAGCAGACGAUGCUUUUCCCUUACAGGAAAACAUUAUGAAACCCUACCCGGGAAAACAUGUUAAAGGUUCAAAAGAGAGAGUUUUUAAUUACAGACUUUCAAGGGCCAGAAUGGUUGUUGAGAACACUUUCGGCAUUAUGGCUUCAGUUUUUCGUGUGUUUAGAAAACCUAUGUUGCUACAACCGGAAAAGGCAAAAACUGUCACACUUACAGCUGUAUGUCUCCACAAUUUUUUAAGGCGAAAUGCUGCGGCAAGGAACCAGUACACCCCACAUGGAAGCUUCGAUUCCUACGAUUUACAAACAGGUGAAAUGAUUCCAGGCACAUGGAGACGAGAUGACACUGCAUCAGUUUUCAUUUCAGCACAGAACAUACCAAGGAAAGCUGCUACCACGAAUAAACAAAUUCGAGACGAAUUUGCUAAUUUUUUUUAAGCCCACAAGGAAGUGUACCGUGGCAAAAUAACUAUGGGUGAAUGUGACUGUGUACUAUAAAAUACAAA